UACGUAGGGUGCGAGCGUUGUCCGGAAUUAUUGGGCGUAAAGGGCUCGUAGGCGGUUUGUCGCGUCGGGAGUGAAAACCUCGGGCUUAACUCGGGGCUUGCUUUCGAUACGGGCAGACUAGAGGUAUGCAGGGGAGAACGGAAUUCCUGGUGUAGCGGUGGAAAUGCGCAGAUAUCAGGAGGAACACCGGUGGCGAAGGCGGUUCUCUGGGCAUGAUCUGACGCUGAGGAGCGAAAGUGUGGGGAGCGAACAGG
rnacentral:rRNA from 1 species